UGCUGCUGGCAGACUAAAGGGAAGCGCAGCCCCAUGGACAGCUCAGUGCUAGUCUGGACUUGGGGAGCAAGGAAGAACUCCUGGCUGGUUGCUGGGCCUGAACAUAAAAGAGUCCCGAGGGAAACUCUAGUGACUUGACUGGAGGGCCAAGCCACGCAGAGGGAGCAUCCUGAGUCCAAGAGAGCACUGCAAAUCCUGGAGUGAGAGGGGACUCAGCGUGAAUGACGGAUGGAAGAGGGUGUCACAGCAGGUGAAGCUAUUCCCCAGACACCACCACAAAGAGGCAGGAACGAAUCCCAUCUUAUUAGCGAGAUGAGGUCUCCUCUCCUGGCACUCUGUCAUCGCACUGAGCAAUUACGUUUCUCGUUGCUUCGGAAGAGGCGUUUAGAGGACAGCACCAUUGGCGUUGCUCCUGGGGAAGAUGGGCUGCCUGGCAGCUCCGUGUUUCCCACUCUGAAGUUGGAGUGGGUGCUGGGGAAUGAGGAGAUGUGAUGACCCCGGGGGAAGUGGGUGACAAGAGUCAUCCGAGGCAGAAAGCACUGGGUAUAUAGGGAGUUAAGUGAUAGGGAUGGGGUGAGGAGGAAAACACAACUGUUAUCAACCUCUCACUGAUUUUAUACCCCUUUCCUUCUGCUUCCAAAUAAAAGGGUCUUCUAAGGCAAUCCCCAUCACUUCCAACCAUCCCUGAGUUGGUCCAUUCAUCUCUAUCCAGCGGA